GAUGAACGCUGGCGGCGUGCUUAACACAUGCGAGUCGAACGAAGCACUCUUUUUGAUUUCCUUCGGGACUGAUUAUUUUGUGACUGAGUGGCGGACGGGUCAGUAACGUGUGGGUAACCUGCCUUGUACAGGGGGAUAACAGUUGGAAACGGCUGCUAAUACCGCAUAAGCGCACAUCAUCGCAUGAUGCAGUGUGAAAAGGUCGUGCGGCAUAAGAUGGACUCGCUUUGGUUUAGCUAGUUGGUGGGGUAACGGCCCACCUAGGCGACGAUGCAUAGCCGAGCUGGGAGCGUGACCCGUCACAAUGGGAAUGAGGCACGGCCCCAUAUCCGACGGGAGACAGCAGUAGAGAGUAUUGCACAAUGAGCGCAAGCCUGAUACAGCGGCGCCGCGUGAGCGAAGAAGUAUUUCGGUAUGUAAAGCUGUAUCAGAAGAGAAGAUAGUGACGGUAACUGACUAAGAAGCACCGGCUAAAUACGUG
rnacentral:rRNA from 1 species